rnacentral:rRNA from 1 species
CCUACGGGAUGCUGCAGUGAGGAAUAUUGGUCAAUGGGCGUAAGCCUGAACCAGCCAAGUCGCGUGAGGGAUGAAGGUUCUCUGGAUCGUAAACCUCUUUUAUAAGGGAAUAAAGUGUGGGACGUGUCCUAUUUUGUAUGUACCUUAUGAAUAAGUAUCGGCUAACUCCGUCCCAGCAGCCGCGGUAAUACGGAAGAUCCGAGCGUUAUCCGGAUUUAUUGGGUUUAAAGGGUGCGUAGGCGGCCUUUUAAGUCAGCGGUGAAAGUCUGUGGCUCAACCAUAGAAUUGCCGUUGAAACUGGGGGGCUUGAGUAUGUUUGAGGCAGGCGGAAUGCGUGGUGUAGCGGUGAAAUGCGUAGAUAUCACGCAGAACCCCGAUUGCGAAGGCAGCCUGCCAAGCCAUGACUGACGCUGAUGCACGAAAGCGUGGGGAUCAAACAGGAUUAGAUACCCCGGUAGUC